AAAAAAUUGGAGAGGCCCUCGCGGGUUUUUUUAAAAUCUGAGCCUUCUCGGCGCCUCUCGUAGGCGUUUCGAAAAUGAAUCAAAACUUUCAACAACGGAUCUCUUGGUUCUGGCAUCGAUGAAGAACGCAGCGAAAUGCGAUAAGUAAUGUGAAUUGCAGAAUUCAGUGAAUCAUCGAAUCUUUGAACGCACAUUGCGCCCGCCAGUAUUCUGGCGGGCAUGCCUGUCCGAGCGUCAUUUCAACCCUCGAACCCCUCCGGGGGGUCGGCGUUGGGGAUCGGCCCUCCCUUAGCGGGGUGGCCGUCUCCGAAAUACAGUGGCGGUCUCGCCGCAGCCUCUCCUGCGCAGUAGUUUGCACACUCGCAUCGGGAGCGCGGCGCGUCCACAGCCGUUAAACACCCAACUUCUGAAAUGUUGACCUCGGAUCAGGUAGGAAUACCCGCUGAACUUAAGCAUAUCAAUAAGCG
rnacentral:rRNA from 1 species